rnacentral:rRNA from 1 species
GACGGGGACCCGCACAAGCGGUGGAGCAUGUGGUUUAAUUCGACGAUACGCGAAGAACUUACCUGGCCUUGACAUACUAAAAAGCUUUAAGAGAUUAGAGUGUGCUAGCUUGCUAGAAUUUAGAUACAGGUGCUGCACGGCUGUCGUCAGCUCGUGUCGUGAGAUGUGGGUUAAGUCCCGCAACGAGCGCAACCCUCGUGUUUAGUUGCUAACAGUUCGGCUGAGAACUCUAAACAGACUGCCUACGCAAGUAGGAGGAAGGUGAGGACGACGUCAAGUCAUCAUGGCCCUUACGGCCAGGGCUACACACGUGCUACAAUGGGGUAUACAAAGAGCAGCGAUACGGUGACGUGGAGCAAAUCUAGAAAAUGCCUCUCAGUUCGGAUUGUAGUCUGCAACUCGACUACAUGAAGUUGGAAUCGCUAGUAAUCGUAGAUCAGCAAUGCUACGGUGAAUACGUUCCCGGGUCUU